rnacentral:rRNA from 1 species
AUUGAACGCUGGCGGCAUGCCUAACACAUGCAAGUCGAGCGGAGCGGCGGACGGGUGCGUAUUGCCUAGGAAUCUGCCUGGUAGUGGUGGAUAACGUUCGGUACCGGGAGCUAAUACCGCAUACUAUCAGAUGAGCCUAGGCCGGAUUAGCUAGUUGGUGGGGUAAAGGCCUACCAAGGCGACGACCCGUAACUGGUGUGAGAGGAUGAUCAGUCACACUGGAACGGAGACACGGUCCAGACUCCUACGGGAGGCAGCAGUGGGGAAUAUUGGACAAUGGGCGAAACCCUGAUCCAGCCAUGCCGCGUGUGUGAAGAAGGCCUUCGGAUUGUAAAGUACUUUAAGUUGGGAAGCGGUACCUGCAGAAUAAGCACCGGCUAACUUCGUGCCAGCAGCCGCGGUAAUAC